rnacentral:rRNA from 1 species
CGGACGGGUGAGUAAUGUCUGGGAAACUGCCUGAUGGAGGGGGAGUAACUACUGGAAACGGUAGCUAAUACCGCAUAACGUCGCAAGACCAAAGAGGGGGACCUCGGGCCUCUUGCCAUUGGAUGUGCCCAGAUGGGAUUAGCUAGUAGGUGGGGUAACGGCUCACCUAGGCGACGAUCCCUAGCUGGUCUGAGAGGAUGACCAGCCACACUGGAACUGAGACACGGUCCAGACUCCUACGGGAGGCAGCAUG